GACGAACGCUGGCGGCGUGCUUAACACAUGCAAGUCGAACGGAAAGGCCCUGCUUUUGUGGGGUGCUCGAGUGGCGAACGGGUGAGUAACACGUGAGUAACCUGUCCUUGACUUUGGGAUAACUUCAGGAAACUGGGGCUAAUACCGGAUAGGAGCUCCUGCUGCAUGGUGGGCGUUGGAAAGUUUCGGCGGUUGGGGAUGUACUCGCGGCUUAUCAGCUUGUUGGUGGGGUAGUGGCUUACCAAGGCUUUGACGGGUAGCCGGCCUGAGAGGGUUACCGGCCACAGUAGGACUGAGAUACGGCCCAGACUCCUACGGGAGGCAGCAGUGGGGAAUAUUGCACAGUGGGCGGGAGCCUGAUGCAGCAACGCCGCGUGCGGGAUAACGGGCUUCGGGUUGUAAACCGCUUUCGCCUGUGACGAAGCGUGAGUGACGGUAAUGGGUAAAGAAGCACCGGCUAACUACGUG
rnacentral:rRNA from 1 species